rnacentral:lncRNA from 1 species
AGGCUGGAGACGCGGGAGCGUGGCUUGCGUCGCUGCGGUUGUUGGCAGCGAUGGAGAUGGCGCGGCUGGAGAGGAGGCAGCACUCGGGGAAGCAGCACCAAGGCAGGCAUCGUCAUUCUGCAUAUGCAGGCCUUGACUGGCAGCAGAGCUCACUGUCCUGAUGGGUACGUCAGUAGCACACAGAAGGUAAGGCUCACCGAGCACAGGCCAUGAAUCUCCUCUGCUCGACUGGAUGUUCUCAUACUCUUGGCUGGGAACAUGACCUCUGCCUCGAGACCAACCCUCGCAAGGGCUAAGGGGCAGGGUGUGGUGUGGGCCCACUGUGGCCAUGGGGAGGCCUUGGAGGGUGAAGCCAGGCAGGUGGCAGAGGAACAGGUGGACUGAGUGGUCCUGAGGAGCAGGCAGACGGGACCAGGGCCAACUUCUCACCCCUCCAGGAUGAAGGGCCGAAUCAGCUCUGGGUUCAACAGCGACUCCUCAAGAGGCCGGUCCACGUGGAAGUCAUGGAUGUGGGGGGGCCCUGGAUGGGCCUUGGGGGCAGGUCCCCCUAGACGCUGAGGAAUCGGCAGCUCAGAUGGAUGGGCAGGCAGGGGAGCUGUGAAGAAGUACUGAUGGAGGAGAG